AACGCACCUUGCGCCUUUUGGUAUUCCGAAAGGCAUGCCUGUUUGAGUGUCAUGAAAUCUCAAUCCCCUCGGGUUUUUCGACCUGGGUGGGACUUGGACUUGGGCGUCUGCCGGUAACACGGCUCGCCUCAAAUGACUUAGUGGAUCUCUCUGCAUCCGUGUCAGACGUAAUAAGUUUCGUCUCGACCCUUGCUUCUGAGUCUGCUCACAACCCGCCAUCGCGCACUUUGGACUCUGACCUCAAAUCAGGUAGGACUACCCGCUGAACUUAA
rnacentral:misc_RNA from 1 species